rnacentral:rRNA from 1 species
UACGAAGGGGGCUAGCGUUGCUCGGAAUCACUGGGCGUAAAGGGCGCGUAGGCGGCGUUUUUAAGUCGGGGGUGAAAGCCUGUGGCUCAACCCACAGAAUGGCCCUCGGAUACUGGGACGCUUGGAGGUAUGGUAGAGGUUGGUGGGAACUGCGAGUGUAGAGGUGAAAUUUCGUAGAUAUUCGCAAGAACACCGGUGGCGAAGGCGGCCAAACUGGACCAUUACUGACGGCUGAGGCGCAAACGUGGG